GUGUGUGUGUGUGUGUGUGUGUGUGUCUCUCUCACAGCAACAAGGGCAUGGAACAUCUGUACAGCAUGAAGUGUGUGUGUGUGUGUGUGUGUGUGUGUGUGUGUGUGUGUGUGUGUCUCUCUCACAGCAACAAGGGCAUGGAGCAUCUGUACAGCAUGAAGUGCAAGAACAAGGUGCCGCUGUACGACCUGCUGCUGGAGAUGCUGGACGCCCACCGCCUCCACUCCCCAGGGAAGAUGAUCCACCCCCCAGGGAAGAUGAUCCACUCCCCAGGGAAGAUGUUGGACUCCCCAGGGAAGAUUGUCCACCCCCCAGGGAAGAUGAUCCACUCCCCAGGGAAGAUGUUGGACUCCCCAGGGAAGAUGCUCCAGUCCCCAGGGAAGAUGAUCCACUCCCCAGGGAAGAUGUUGGACUCCCCAGGGAAGAUGCUCCACCCCCCAGGGAAGAUGAUCCACUCCCCAGGGAAGAUGUUGGACUCCCCAGGGAAGAUGGUGGACGCCUACCGCCUGCACUCCCCAGGGAAGAUGGUGGACUUCGAGGGCCUCCACUCCCCGGAUCUCUUCGUGGCCACUUCCCCGAACCCAGGAGUUCUGUAGUCCUUUAGUUUCACUCUCUUUCACCCUUUGAUCACUUGAAUGUAUUGUCGUGGAUUCAGUACAAUUUGAAGAAUAAAUCUGCAAAUAAGAA